AAAUCCUAACCGUGUGUGUGUCUGUGUUUCUCUCAGGAUGUGUCUGGCGUGAUGUUUGCAGGCUGUUAUGCUGAUGUAUUCAGUACGGACACGCUGAUGGAGUCUUUGGAGCGACGGCUACAGAGACCUCUCUUGGCCAAAUCCAGGACAUUACCCAGCAUCCCUCAGUCCCCAGCCGCCAUCCGUGUGCAGCAGUCAGAGAACGUUUGUGAACGUCAACGGCGCCCGCGUGUUCCCUCCAGCCCUGGUGGUCUUGAAGCGUGUACGCUGCCUCCCGCAGGCGAGAUGUGGCGGCUGGAAGAUGAAAAUGAGGCAGACGUGACUCCGGGUGCUGUCGACCCGCGGCCGCGCUCUCAGUCGCCAUUCUCACAUUUCCGGCGGCGGGCGGCGUAUCUGAGGAAAAGCAUCUCGGCCGAUGAUCACCUGGGAGAGGCUGAGUUUGAACCCGCCCAGCCGGAGGGG
rnacentral:lncRNA from 1 species